rnacentral:rRNA from 1 species
CCCUUAGACGUUCUGGGCCGCACGCGCGCUACACUGACCAGUGCAACAAGCAUCCGUCCUUGGCCGACAGGCCCGGGCAAUCUUUGAACGCUGGUCGUGAUGGGGAUAGACUUUUGCAAUUUUUGGUCUUCAACGAGGAAUUCCUAGUAAACGCAAGUCAUCAACUUGCAUUGAUUACGUCCCUGCCCUUUGUACACACCGCCCGUCGCACCUACCGAUUGAAUGGUCCGGUGAAGCCUCCGGAUUGGCGCGCACCCCGGUGCCGCCGAGAAGUUGGCUAAACCUUACCAUUUAGAGGAAGGUGAANUCGUAGCA